rnacentral:rRNA from 1 species
CCUACGGGUGGCAGCAGUGAGGAAUAUUGGUCAAUGGGCGUAAGCCUGAACCAGCCAAGCCGCGUGAGGGAUGAAGGUUCUAUGGAUCGUAAACCUCUUUUAUAAGGGAACAAAGUGUGGGACGUGUCCUAUUUUGUAUGUACCUUAUGAAUAAGGAUCGGCUAACUCCGUGCCAGCAGCCGCGGUAAUACGGAGGAUCCGAGCGUUAUCCGGAUUUAUUGGGUUUAAAGGGUGCGGAGGCGGCCUUUUAAGUCAGCGGUGAAAGUCGGGGGCUCAACCACCGCACUGCGGUGGAAACUGGGGGUCUCGAGUAUGUGAGAGGCAGGCGGAAUGCGUGGUGUAGCGGUGAAAUGCUUAGAUAUCACGCAGAACCCCGAUUGCGAAGGCAGCAUGCC